AGAUUGAACGCUGGCGGCAUGCCUUACACAUGCAAGUCGAACGGUAGCAGGCCUUCGGGUGCUGACGAGUGGCGAACGGGUGAGUAAAGUAUCGGAACGUACCAUUCAGUGGGGGAUAACGUAGCGAAAGUUACGCUAAUACCGCAUAUUCUGUGAGCAGGAAAGCAGGGGAUCGCAAGACCUUGCGCUGAUUGAGCGGCCGAUAUCAGAUUAGCUUGUUGGUGAGGUAAGAGCUCACCAAGGCGACGAUCUGUAGCGGGUCUGAGAGGAUGAUCCGCACACUGGAACUGAGACACGGUCCAGACUCCGUACGGGAGCAGCAGUGGGAUUUGGACAAGUGGCGCGAAGCCUGAUCCAGCCAGUGCCGCGUGAG
rnacentral:rRNA from 1 species